rnacentral:rRNA from 1 species
GACGAACGCUGGCGGCGUGCUUAACACAUGCAAGUGGGGCGACGAACCAGGCUUCGGCCUGGGGGCAAAGCCGCGAACGGGUGAGUAACACGUGGGUAACCUGCCCCGAAGACUGGGACAACCCGGGGAAACCCGGGCUAAUACCGGAUGUGGUCAUCGUUCACAAGGACGAUGAGCAAAGGAAGCUUCGGCCUCCGCUUCGGGAUGGGCCCGCGGCCCAUUAGCUUGUUGGUGAGGUAACGGCUCACCAAGGCUCGAUGGGUAGCUGGUCUGAGAGGACGAUCAGCCACACUGGGACUGAGACACGGCCCAGACUCCUACGGGAGGCAGCAGUGGGGAAUCUUGCGCAAUGCGCGAAAGCGUGACGCAGCAACGCCGC